AGUGAACGCUGGCGGUAGGCCUAACACAUGCAAGUCGAACGGCAGCACAGUAAGAGCUUGCUCUUACGGGUGGCGAGUGGCGGACGGGUGAGGAAUACAUCGGAAUCUACUUUUUCGUGGGGGAUAACGUAGGGAAACUUACGCUAAUACCGCAUACGACCUACGGGUGAAAGCAGGGGAUCUUCGGACCUUGCGCGAUUGAAUGAGCCGAUGUCGGAUUAGCUAGUUGGCGGGGUAAAGGCCCACCAAGGCGACAAUCCGUAGCUGGUCUGAGAGGAUGAUCAGCCACACUGGAACUGAGACACGGUCCAGACUCCUACGGGAGGCAGCAGUGGGGAAUAUUGGACAAUGGGCGCAAGCCUGAUCCAGCCAUACCGCGUGGGUGAAGAAGGCCCUCGGGUUGUAAAGCCCUUUUGUUGGGAAAGAAAAGCAGCAGGUUAAUACCCCGCUGUUCUGACGGUACCCAAAGAAUAAGCACCGGCUAACUUCGUG
rnacentral:rRNA from 1 species